rnacentral:rRNA from 1 species
CCAGACUCCUACGGGAGGCAGCAGUCGGGAAUAUUGCGCAAUGGAGGAAACUCUGACGCAGUGACGCCGCGUGCAGGAAGAAGGUUUUCGGAUUGUAAACUGCUUUAGACAGGGAAGAAACAAGACAGUACCUGUAGAAUAAGCUCCGGCUAACUACGUGCCAGCAGCCGCGGUAAUACGUAGGGAGCAAGCGUUAUCCGGAUUUAUUGGGUGUAAAGGGUGCGUAGACGGAGAAGCAAGUUAGUUGUGAAAUCCCUCGGCUUAACUGAGGAACUGCAACUAAAACUACUUCCCUUGAGUGCUGGAGAGGAAAGUGGAAUUCCUAGUGUAGCGGUGAAAUGCGUAGAUAUUAGGAGGAACACCAGUGGCGAAGGCGACUUUCUGGACAGUAACUGACGUUGAGGCACGAAAGUGUGGGGAGCAAACAGGAUUAGAUACCCCAGUAUCC